UACGUAGGGUGCAAGCGUUGUCCGGAAUUAUUGGGCGUAAAGAGCUCGUAGGUGGUUUGUUACGUCUGCUGUGAAAACCUAGGGCUUAACCCUGGGCCUGCAGUGGAUACGGGCAGACUAGAGGUAGGUAGGGGAGAAUGGAAUUCCCGGUGUAGCGGUGAAAUGCGCAGAUAUCGGGAGGAACACCGGUGGCGAAGGCGGUUCUCUGGGCCUUACCUGACGCUGAGGAGCGAAAGCGUGGGGAGCGAGCAGG
rnacentral:rRNA from 1 species